UACGGAGGGUGCGAGCGUUGUCCGGAAUCAUUGGGCGUAAAGGGCGCGUAGGUGGCUUCUCAAGCGUGCGGUGAAAGUCAGGGGCUCAACCCCUGAUCGGCCGUGCGAACUGGGGGGCUUGAGCACUGUAGAGGCAGGCGGAAUUCCGGGUGUAGCGGUGGAAUGCGUAGAGAUCCGGAAGAACACCGGUGGCGAAGGCGGCCUGCUGGGCAGUUUGGCUGACACUGAGGCGCGACAGCGUGGGGAGCAAACAGG
rnacentral:rRNA from 1 species